GCCCCCAUAGUUCAGUGGCAGAACGGCGGUAUCGUAAACCGCAGACAUCAGUUCGAUUCUGAUCGGGGGCU
rfam:Candidatus Magasanikbacteria bacterium RIFOXYD2_FTLL_41_14 rifoxyd2_full_scaffold_131, whole genome shotgun sequence.